GGAAAGAAAAACACAGCCCAGUAGCCGAGAGGUGCAAGCAGGCUGAGACAGCCCUCGUAGCAUCAAGUGCAGAGACCUCGGCUGAGACUCAGAGAGGCCCACGGUGCCUUGACUCAGACAGGCCAGGGACUGGAGAACCGUCCAGAAGAAUAUAAGAAAUGUAUCCAGAACUACUCUGCAAGGGAUGGUUGAACUUUUUUUAAUCUUCCGCCCCUUUAUAAUUCUUUACAAAAGGGGAAAGGGUUACUGCUAGGGUCCGUAACUUCUGUGAGGACAGUUCUUUUUUUCUCCGUUAUUCAGUCCUUAGCAAUGAACAUGUAUACCAUUUAAAAAAAUUUGAGUGAGUUAAUGGAUGAGUGAACAAAUGAUUGUGUCAAGCAAGGAAACAGAUCUAGUUGCUCCUAGACCUCUGGGCUGGGCUGGGGUUGUGACAGUCAGUCAGAACUAACCUGCUACGAUACGGUUGGAGUAAACGCUUUUGUUCACCAGCCAGAGGGAAAAAAGGCCCUAGGGACACACUUCCAAGGAUCAGCCUGUGAAUGACUCUUUCUCUAUCCUUUCCUGCCAGGAACAUGCCUGUACCUUCACUGCCGGCGUCCCAGCGUGGGCGGCAGGUGAGGAAGCACAAAAGGGUGGACACAAGUUCCCCCCAGUCAACCGACUAACGCUCUGCUUCUAGGUUGGAGGCCCGUGACUAAGGGGAUUUUAGAGGCCACAGAAACACGGGCAUUGACUGAAUAGAAGGAGCCCACAGGGCAGAGCCCGGCCCUCCCACCGUGAGGUUCCUGCUCCAGGGCUCAGGCUUCUUAUGUGACCCAUGAAGAUAUCAGCAUGUAAAAUUGUCACCUUAACUGUACUAAAUGUGGCUUAUUGACAGUGUAAGAUUUAAUUACAAGAAUUCCGACAGGCAGGCAUUAGUGCGUCUAGUUUUACUUGAGGAGAGAGGCCCAUGCAGUUGGUGGCGGGGUGCACGGACCCGGGACCCCUGAUCCCGGCGGAUCCCCGGGGACCAUGCUCCCGGGGCCGCCGCCUCCUGACCCACAUGUGGGCGGGAGACCAAACCUGUGCCCCGCACUGACACGGGCAUUCUGAUGCUCAGGUGCUCCGAACCCGCGGGGCCCCUUGGCCCGCAUCCUGCUGCUGCCCAGAGGCGGCCCGUGCCCUGGGGUGUGUGUAACUGACGGCGCCCCGGUUACGGCUGCAGCGGACGGGCCUCGGGUCAGGGCUGCUCGUCCCCCGGAGCGUGGAAGCACCGCACAGGCAGUGAGCUGUUCCGCCAGGACGUCAUAGAUCCUGGGAAGCAGCACCGUUCAACAGAAGCAAAACGCAAGCCACACGUGCUAUUCAAAAUGUUCCAGUAGCCUCAAAGAAAGGAGAGACUGAAACAGUGAAACUGAUGGUAACGAUGUAGCCUAGAUGAAAUGUCCAAAGGUUUAUCACUUCCCCAUGUAUUUAAUAUACACUUGUUGAGUCUUCCUUUUUUUUUAAUACUGAGUCCCAGAAGGGGUGUGUGAUCCCCACUUACAGCGCAAACCAGACAAGCCACCCUCCGGACGCUCCAUCUUGCCACAGCACAAGCAGAGGCUCCUUCUGAGUAUUUUUGCCAGUGCGCUGCUGAUCCCAAUACGUGAGGAGCACAAGCACGUCCCAAACUCCUGAACUGGCUCCACUGGGUCCAGCAGGGCCGGGCCUGGGUGAGAGGGCAGGUGCCAGGGUGCCCCAGGCUUCCUGGCGGGAACGCUGCAUUCCCGCAUGUCUCCUGACCAGUUCCAGGCAGUUCCAGGAGGCGCUUCCGUGCGGGGCACAGUCUGAGCGGGACUGCUUCAGCGGCUGAGAGGUUAUAGGAAGA